rnacentral:rRNA from 1 species
GACGAACGCUGGCGGCGUGCUUAACACAUGCAAGUCGAACGAAGAGCGAUGGAAGCUUGCUUCUAUCAAUCUUAGUGGCGAACGGGUGAGUAACGCGUAAUCAACCUGCCCUUCAGAGGGGGACAACAGUUGGAAACGACUGCUAAUACCGCAUACGAUCUAAUCUCGGCAUCGAGGAUAGAUGAAAGGUGGCCUCUACAUGUAAGCUAUCACUGAAGGAGGGGAUUGCGUCUGAUUAGCUAGUUGGAGGGGUAACGGCCCACCAAGGCGAUGAUCAGUAGCCGGUCUGAGAGGAUGAACGGCCACAUUGGGACUGAGACACGGCCCAGACUCCUACGGGAGGCAGCAGUGGGGAAUCUUCCGCAAUAGACGAAAGUCUGACGGAGCAACGCCGCGUGAGUGAUGACGGCCGUCGGGUUGUAAAGCUCUGUUAAUCGGGACGAAAGGCCUUCUUGCGAAUAGUGAGAAGGAUUGACGGUACCGGAAUAGAAAGCCACGGCUAACUACGUG